AAGAGCUGACAUGUAAACUCUUAAUUUUGUGAGCUAUAGGAAAUCUGUUUUUGACUUCAUGGCUCACUCUCAGCACUAACCCUGUUAGUGGUGCAAUAACUUGCAGUUCAGCUGCACGUAAUCUAUUUACAAACAGCAGCUUUGUGCUCCUUUAUUUGUAUGUCCCUUUAAUUUCUCCCUCCAUGCUGUGUCUCCUGCUGAUGCACCAUACCAUGAGGAUUAAUAACCUCCAACAGUUUGUUAGCCAGGGAUUCACAGCCACGGUGGCGCGAGGAGCUGGUGUGGUGUAACUGUAUAUUGCCUGUCAUGCCAAACUGGGCUUGAGGCCCAGAAAGCGUGUCUCUGUCCUCUGAGUUCAAAGCUCUUACUCAUCACAGGAGUUAGUGAUUUGCUUAAAUCCCAAUGAAAAGGUUUAAAUGAUCAGUAAUGGCAACUCCAGGCUGUGGUAAUUAUCAUGUAGGUAAAGUGACGGCAGAUGGGUUGGAGAGGCUGCCUGGGCACAGAAGAACAGUCUUCUCUGUACCUAGGUAAAGCACUGCUGGGCUUGCACUAAGGCAGAUUUUUGCCCUCAGCCUCUGGAAAAGAAAACAUCCUGCGGUUCACGGUCACCCUUCUCCCUGCCCCAGGUGGAAGGAGAGCUGGUCCUGGGUUCCUCAGAGAGUUCCAGGAGGUUCCAGAACCUUUCCUGGAUCCUCCACCUCAGGGUGCCCCCCCUCCCCUCAGGGAGCAGCUGCCAGAGGAACCCGCAGGCAGGGUGCAGCCUGUGGGGGUCACCACAUGCACCCCACCACGUGAACCCAGGGUGCAUGGGUGGAGCUGCUCCAGGGCAGGGCCUGGGGCGGCCUUUCCCCAGGAAGGGUAUGCAUCUGAAAUAUGGAAGUCUGGCAUCCAGGACGUUGAAAACAGAGGGAUCUGAAGAAUGCAGGAAAAACUCAGAUUUUGGUUUAAAUUAA
rnacentral:lncRNA from 1 species